rnacentral:rRNA from 1 species
UAUAAGCAAUUAUACCGCGAAACUGCGAAUGGCUCAUUAUAUAAGUUAUCGUUUAUUUGAUAGCACAUUUACCUACUUGGAUAACCGUGGUAAUUCUAGAGCUAAUACAUGCUAAAAAUCCCGACUUCGGAAGGGAUGUAUUUAUUAGAUUAAAAGCCAACGCCCUUCGGGGCUUCUUGGUGAUUCAUGAUAACUGGUCGAAUCGCAUGGCCUUGCGCGGCGAUGGUUCAUUCAAUUUCUUCCUAUCAACUUUCGAUGCGAAGGUCUUGUCUUCGCAUGGUUGCAACGGGUAACGGAGGGUUAGGGCUCGACCCCGGAGAAGGAGCCUGAGAAACGGCUACUACAUCCAAGGAAGGCAGCAGGCGCGCAAAUUACCCAAUCCCNNNNNNNNUACUGAUACAGGGCUCUUUUGGGUCUUGUAAUCGGAAUGAGUACAAUUUAAAUCCCUUAACGAGGAACAAUUGGAGGGCAAGUCUGGUGCCAGCAGCCGCGGUAAUUCCAGCUCCAAUAGCGUAUAUUAAAGUUGUUGUGGUUAAAAAGCUCGUAGUUGAACCUUGGGCCUGGCUGGCCGGUCCCCCUCACCGGGUGCACUGAUCCAGCCGGGCCUUUCCCUCUGUGGAACCUCAUGGUCUUCACUGACUGUGUUGGGGAAACAGGACUUUUACUUUGAAAAAAUUAGAGUGCUCCAGGCAGGCCUAUGCUCGAAUACAUUAGCAUGGAAUAAUAGAAUAGGACGUGUGGUUCUAUUUUGUUGGUUUCUAGGACCGCCGUAAUGAUUAAUAGGGACAGUCGGGGCAUCAGUAUUCAAUUGUCAGAGGUGAAAUUCUUGGAUCUAUUGAAGACUAACUACUGCGAAAGCAUUUGCCAAGGAUGUUUUCAUUGAUAAGGAACGAAAGUUAGGGGAUCGAAGACGAUCAGAUACCGUCGUAGUCUUAACUAUAAACUAUGCCGACUAGGGAUCGGACGAUGUUAUCUUUUGACGCGUUCGGCACCUUUCGAGAAAUCAAAGUGCUUGGGCUCCAG